rnacentral:rRNA from 1 species
UACAGAGGUGGCAAGCGUUGUUCGGAAUUACUGGGCGUAGAGGGCGCGUAGGCGGUUCGUUAAGUCCUGUGUGAAAUCCCCCGGCUCAACUGGGGAACUGCACAGGAAACUAGCGGGCUUGAGUUCGGGAGAGGGAAGCGGAAUUCCGGGUGUAGCGGUGAAAUGCGUAGAUAUCCGGAGGAACACCGGUGGCGAAGGCGGCUUCCUGGACCGACACUGACGCUGAGGCGCGAAAGCUAGGGGAGCAAACGGG